rnacentral:rRNA from 1 species
UACGUAGGGUGCAAGCGUUAAUCGGAAUUACUGGGCGUAAAGCGUGCGCAGGCGGUUGGGUAAGACAGAUGUGAAAUCCCCGGGCUCAACCUGGGAACUGCAUUUGUGACUGCACGGCUGGAGUGCGGCAGAGGGGGAUGGAAUUCCGCGUGUAGCAGUGAAAUGCGUAGAUAUGCGGAGGAACACCGAUGGCGAAGGCAAUCCCCUGGGCCUGCACUGACGCUCAUGCACGAAAGCGUGGGGAGCAAACAGG